AACACUCCACUUUGUUUUACAGAAAAAUGUGAUCAAGUUGCUUGUUGAUGAUAUGUUAUGCUUACCUCGUGGCCUUAGGGUCUAGUCCAAAUGGGAUGUACUUAGCUCACACGCCAUAUGGUUCACUCAAUCCAUGAUGCUUUUGCAUGACAAGUUACAAACACAAAAGUCACUGGACCACAUAUAUUUGAUACUAUCAUGGCACAUUCAGAUCAUGGAACACACACGGCCCACAAAAGAGGGUAAAU
rnacentral:lncRNA from 1 species